rnacentral:rRNA from 1 species
UACGGAGGGUGCUAGCGUUGUUCGGAAUUACUGGGCGUAAAGAGCGCGUAGGCGGUUUGACAAGUUGGAAGUGAAAGCCCGAGGCUUAACCUCGGAAUUGCUUUCAAAACUGUUGAACUAGAGAGCGAUAGAGGAUGGUGGAAUUCCUAGUGUAGAGGUGAAAUUCUUAGAUAUUAGGAGGAACACCGGUGGCGAAGGCGGCCAUCUGGGUCGUUUC